UACGGAGGGUGCGAGCGUUGUCCGGAAUCACUGGGCGUAAAGGGCGCGUGGGUGGCCGAGCAAGGUCGCGGUGAAAGCCCGGGGCUCAACCCCGGGUCGGCCGUGGCAACUACUGGGCUGGAGCACUGUAGGGGCGGGUGGAAUUCCGGGUGUAGCGGUGGAAUGCGUAGAGACCCGGAAGAACACCGGUGGCGAAGGCAGCUUCCUGGCCCAAUUCUGACGCUGAGGUGCGAAAGCGUGGGUAGCGAACGGG
rnacentral:rRNA from 1 species